CUGUAAUCGCGGAUCAGAAUGCCGCGGUGAAUACGUUCCCGGGUCUUGUANACACCGCCCGUCACACCAUGGGGGUCGGAAAUGCCCGAAGUCGGUGACCCAACCGUAAGGAGGGAGCCGCCGAAGGCAGGCCUGGUAACUGGGGUGAAGUCGUAACAAGGUACC
rnacentral:rRNA from 1 species